rnacentral:rRNA from 1 species
UACGGAGGGUGCGAGCGUUGUCCGGAAUCAUUGGGCGUAAAGGGCGCGUAGGUGGCGGGACAAGCGUGCGGUGAAAGCUCGGGGCUCAACCCCGCGUCGGCCGUGCGAACUGCUGGGCUGGAGCACUGUAGAGGCAGGCGGAAUUCCGGGUGUAGCGGUGGAAUGCGUAGAGAUCCGGAAGAACACCGGUGGCGAAGGCGGCCUGCUGGGCAGUGGCUGACACUGAGGCGCGACAGCGUGGGGAGCAAACAGG